CAGUCGCCACGGUAAAACGAAGGGGGCUAGCGUUGCUCGGAAUGACUGGGCGUAAAGGGCGCGUAGGCGGCGAUCAAAGUCAGGCGUGAAAUUCCCGGGCUCAACCUGGGGGCUGCGUUUGAUACUUGGUUGCUUGAGUGGGGAAGAGGGUCGUGGAAUUCCCAGUGUAGAGGUGAAAUUCGUAGAUAUUGGGAAGAACACCGGUGGCGAAGGCGGCGGCCUGGUCCUUGACUGACGCUGAGGCGCGAAAGCGUGGGGAGCAAACAGGAUUAGAUACCCCGGUAGUCCCUGUCUCUUAUAA
rnacentral:rRNA from 1 species